rnacentral:lncRNA from 1 species
NAUUUAAGUUUUAUUAAAUCUAAAAUUCUAAGGUAUAAUUUUAUCAUAUCAUAAUUUUUAUUUUUAAAAAAAUGACAAUAAAAAAUGAAAUAAAGAAAAUGAAAGUUUAUAUAAACAAAAAUGGUUAAAGUAAUGAAAAACAAAACAAAUUGUGAAAACAAACGUAGAGUUGCUUUUAUUAGAAACCUGAAACCUAUUAGAUGGAUACAUGAAAGAAGAGCUAAGUUUGCUUUGAACAUUAUAACAUUGAUUAGAACACUCAGAAUGCAUGUCUUUGACUUAAAAUGUCAUAUACAUACACAUAUUACUUAGCUACUUAAUGUAUUUGUUUAACACAGUAGUCUUCAAGGUGACUCACAAUGUUUACCACACCAAAUCAACAUUGGUAGUAUGAUUUGCUUAUUUUAUCUCUUUCAAAAAAUUAAAUAUAGUUUCAAACAUUAAAACAAGAGAAUAUGCAAAAUAAAAUUAUAAUUAAUAUUAUUGACUUAAGUUGUAGUUAUAUUGAGUUUUAUUUAAUCUAAAUUUCUAUAGUAUAAUGUAUUUAUAUCAUAAUUUUUAUUUUUGCAACAAUGACAAUAAAAAAGAAAUAAAGAAAAUGAAAGUUUAUAUAGACAAAAAUGGUUAAAGUAAUGAAAAAA